AGCAAAUGCUUCUAAUCAUAGUUAGGUGUCCAUGAUAAACAAUAAGAUUAUAAAAAUACUCUGGUUACGUAUUGGGAUUAUUCACUCCAAUAUCUUUAAAAUAGUCUCAAGUUUGAGCCUUUAGGAUCCUUGUCUGAAAUCCAAAAGAGGGAUAAGUUGCACUAUCUGCUUCAUUUGUAGUAACCUCUAUACAAAAGGCUGAACCAUUGAGAAAGACAAGAAGGUACAAGUUUUAAUUUUUAAUGAAGCCCCCUGCCAGCAGACUACCUAGGUCCAGCUAAAAUUAACAAACAAAAUUGAAAUAAUGAUCCAGAACCAGUUUAUUUUACAAUAAUCAUUUUAAGAAAAAUUAUAAUGUAUAUCUCAGGCAAUGGAAAAAAGAAUCAAAUACACACCUAAUUUGCUUAAACGUCAUGAAAAUGCUAUCAUCCUGAUCCUAAGGUUUAAUAAGUUAUCCAUUUGUUUAUUAUCCAUUUGUUUAUUUGUAUGGAUUGGAUAUAAAUGACAAGCCACAAGCUUCUCCAGAAAAAUAUGAAAACCCUAAAUCCCUGCCACUUGUUUCCAUCUAAGACUAAGACCAAUGCACACUUCCUUCAUCAAGAUGAAGACUCAGGUCCCACAGUGUAGAAGCGUGUACAUAAAAACCUGGAGAGAGAUCAGUUUCCUUUAUAUUAGUGGUAUUUUUCUUUUAUUUCCCAGGUCCAACCUCCAUUAUUGUUUUUGGACAAUUAUCAUUGAUGACCUUUUCUCUUUAGAUAACUUAUAGCAUUUAAGCACAACGCAAAUCAUGUGACCAACAUUAACAAUACAAGUAUAGAUUUGCUAGAUGACCGGUACUCCCAGGCACAUCAACCUGAAUUAAUAUCCACAACAAAGUAAUUUUCUAAUCCCUACCUUCUAGAAAUUGUUUGACAAAUCAUAUUUUUAGGAAUAUUUUAUCAACACAAUGCAUCAAGAAAAACUCAGCAAGGUCCCACAUCAUUUCCUUUUUAAAAAUAUUACUCGUUUGUUGAAGAUAUAAGGUGGUUCUAAGUACAAAACAAAUCUGCAAAACCCAACCCAGAAUGCAUCCCAAGUCCCCACCGCAUCCAGCGCCCUUCCAAUCUUUUUUGAUUCACCAACACCACCCAACUAAUCGCUCCUGGGUUUCUGAAUUUUCAGCAUAACACAUGGAUCUAGCACUUUGAUUUGAAGGGGAAUGCUUAACAAGAAAUUUCUAACAGCUUCAUGAAUUUAAAGGUAUAAGUCCUGAAUAUAUGACUUUUACAAAAGAUAAGAUGUCAAUAUGAUAAAAGUAAAUGAUCUAGCAAACUAAAAAUUAGUGAAGAUUCACCUGCUGAAUAUUUCAAACUUGGACAAGCUCAGGACGGAUUGUCUGGACCAGCAGAUAAUUUUAAAGGAAAAAAACAAACGACAAUUUGAGAACAUAAAUUAAUAAAGGACACAACAUCAGAGCAGCAAACAAAGGCAAUAACUCAAAUUAAGAGGACAUGCCGGCAAUUGAAUCAGAAUUCAGGAAACCACACUAUGAAAGAAUUGGGAGGACGACAUAGACUUUAAACUCAGCAUUUGUUCUUAAACUUUUGAAUCAUUUAUAUAAAGUGUCAAUGAUUGACGUCAAAGGGGCACCUAUCAAGAAGAAAGAGAAAAGGGUUUUGUGUAAAGGGAGGGAAGAGGUCCCGUCAAAUGUAGAAAUCAAGAAUGCUCACAUUAAGAUAAAAAUGGCCCAGAAGCGAACAAUUUAACAUUUGUCUAAGCCUUUUAGGAAUUAUUUAUAAAAGGAUUGCAAAAUUGACCUUUUUCCAUUGAUCAGGUAUAACAUUAAAUUACAAGGCCUUCCAUCAUAAAAGCUUAUGAAAGAGAUGAUAAACGAAAGAGAAAUAGAGAUACUGAAUAUUUUCCUGAGCCAAAUUCGUGUCCCAUGCCUCUUGUGCACUCUUAAUUUUGUAGAACUUCCCACACUACCCAUCCAAGUAAAAUUUUUUAUUGCCAACUCUUUUGCAUCAUUUCUGGUGCAGCAUUCAAAUUGUUUUUAUCAUCUUCAAGUUUU
rnacentral:misc_RNA from 1 species